UCAGGAAUAUUGUGCUGAGAGGAUCUCACUCAAGGUUGGGCCACUCGAUACCAUUUCAUUUUGGGUGUGACAUGACAUGUUUUAUUUACAUUGUAGAAUUAAUGUUUUAUGUCAUAUAAUAUUCUUGUGUAGUGUUUACAAAUUAUAUGGAAAACCUGAUGCCAAAUAAAUUUUGUAUGUCUUUUUAUGAUGAAAGGAAAUGAAGGAAAGUCCAAAUAAAUUUUGUAUGUCUUUUUAUGAUGAAAGGAAAUGAAGGAAAGUUUUUAUAACAUUUAAAUUCAGAAAUGGGUUUUGCAGUUUUCUUAUAUGAUAGGUCUUGGCCGCCCGAGUCCCAUGGGAGCACCCAGAUCCUAUGGGAUAGGGAGGGUUGGGACGGGUCAUGUUAAUGAAGACCAAAGAAAUGAAGAUUCAAGUUUAGAGGUUUUCACCCAAAAGCGGAAACACUAUAUAAAGGAGUGAAAAUUAUUUUGAUGGAGGUCACUCACUUUGGAGGCAAGAAACGUGGAGAGGAGAAGAUAAGAGAAGAUUCAACCAAAUUGGAGAGAUUUUCUUUACCUUUUGUUCUUGUUUCCAUGAUGAACUCAAAUUUGUUUAGUUUAUAUAGUUUCAAUUCAUUUUCUAUGUGGAACUAAUUGUUUAUCUAGGGUUUUCAUGUAGCCUUGACAAAAAUAUUCAAUACACAUGAUUUAAUAUAAUUUUAGCGUUUAUUUCA